rnacentral:rRNA from 1 species
UACGGAGGGUGCAAGCGUUGCUCGGAAUUACUGGGCGUAAAGGGCGUGUAGGCGGUGUCGUAUGUCUGACGUGAAAGCCCCGGGCUCACCCCGGGAAGUGCGUUGGAAACUGCGAGACUAGAGUCCCGGAGAGGAAGGUGGAAUUCCAGGUGUAGCGGUGAAAUGCGUAGAUAUCUGGAAGAACACCGGCGGCGAAGGCGGCCUUCUGGACGGUGACUGACGCUGAGACGCGAAAGCGUGGGGAGCAAACAGG